AGGGUUGUAGCUCAGUGGGUAGGACACCUGCUUUGCAUGCAGAAGGUCCCAGGUUUGAUCCUCAGUAUCUCCA